rnacentral:lncRNA from 1 species
CCGCCCUGAGGAAACUUGCCCGCGGUCGGGCGGCGGGGCCCGGUCCGGCCCGGCCCGCCCACUCGGGGGACGGCGCCUCACCAUUGGCUGAGGCCGCCGUCGCUCCGCCGUCAUGUGGGCUGCUGGGCUACAAGCGAGCGGCGGCUGAGGCGGGGCGGGGCGCUGCGGACCGGAAGCGGUGGGGUGGGUCCGCGCGGAGCUACCGGCUGUGAGGGGAUCCUGAGGAGGGCCGGCCGCGGGGCGUCUCCUCAGCGCCGGGGCCGAGCCGUGAGUGGGUUACACGUCCCGGUAAAGGUUGUGGACAGUAUGGAAUUGCCUUCAACAACAGAUCUCAAAGUCAUAUUUUUUGGCCAGAACAAAGUGGGAAAGAUACUUCUGGUUGUGUGUUUUCAAUGGAAAAGGUAAAUUGGUUGACAUCAUAUGGUUACACCCAACGUUCAGGUAUGACUUAAAAUUUUUGGAACAGCGUUGGUAAUUGAGCAUGUGAUGCUUGUAAAAGUAAAUACAUCUAUUUAAUAAUGGGCCUUUGUAAAUAACAUGUGCCAUAAAAAUGACUCGUUAAAUGUAUUUGCUCUCCUAACUAGUUACAUUUCAUGGCAAAGGACAAUGAGGAAAAAGCAACUAGCUGUACAGAGAUCUCUUUGUGAACUACUGUAACAUGACUCUUUCUGUAAUUUAAAAAAUUACAUUUCAGCUUUGCCCAGCUUAAUACAGUAUAUCAUAUCAGUUGUGAUUACAUUUCCUAAGGGGGUUAGUAGUAUUUGCUAGAGACUACAAAGUAAUUAACCACACUGUGUUAUUGUGUGUUUUAAUAUAUGUGGAUAUCACAUUCUGGGCCCUUCAAAACUUACCUUUGUGAGUGGGGUGAGAUUUUUACAUUGGCCCACCCAGCAACUGUUACCAACACCUAGCAAUGCUGAAUAGUAUCUGAAAUGUACGUUAUAAAAUGUUAAUUCAGUCUUCAGGUAUUGAGAAGUAGGUACUCUCACUAAAAUUCGAAAGCUACUGUUAUAAGCCUAACAUUCUUUCUGGAAGAAUAGCAGUUUCAGGAAGGUGAUUUUUAAAAUUUUCCUCCAAAAGAACACUUAGCUACACUAUAUUUAAAACUUCUUCAUUAAGAUACACCAAUGACCCUUUCUUUGGAUACAAUGAAUGCACCUGUGUCUAUACAGUGAUACAAUUGUGCAUGUAUGUGUUUUCAAAGACACAACACUGCUUGAUGCUGCAAAGACUUCUAGAUUUUUUUAUUUUUUCAGUCAAGGCCUAUAAAGCACAAAAUCCAGAGUUACCAUAAAUAGCAAUAAAAUGUUAAGACGUCUCUGAAUGUUUCCUUUG